rnacentral:tRNA from 1 species
GCCCGGAUGGUGAAAUUGGUAAACACCGCAGACUUAAAAUUUGCCGCAUCUUUAUCGAUGCUUGCCGGUUCGAUUCCGGUUCCGGGCACCA